GCCUUCGCCCGACAGGCCGGGCCCUGCCCCGGUAAGGCAGGAUUUGCGGGUUCGAGGCCCGCCGAAGGCUCCA
rnacentral:tRNA from 1 species